GAUGAACGCUGGCGGCGUGCCUAAUACAUGCAAGUCGAGCGAACGGACGAGAAGCUUGCUUCUCUGAUGUUAGCGGCGGACGGGUGAGUAACACGUGGAUAACCUACCUAUAAGACUGGGAUAACUUCGGGAAACCGGAGCUAAUACCGGAUAAUAUUUUGAACCGCAUGGUUCAGAAGUGAAAGACGGUCUUGCUGUCACUUAUAGAUGGAUCCGCGCUGCAUUAGCUAGUUGGUAAGGUAACGGCUUACCAAGGCAACGAUGCAUAGCCGACCUGAGAGGGGGAUAGGCGACACUAGAACUGGAACAAGGUCCAGACUCCUACGGGAGGCAGCAGUAGCGAAUCUGCCGAAGUAGGAGGGAGCCUUACGGAGCAACGCCGCGUGGGAUGUGAAGGUCAUGGGAGCGUGAAGCAGUGUUAUUAGGGAUGAACAUAUUUGUAAGUAGCUGUGCACAUCUUGACGGUACCUAAUCAGAAAGCCACGGCUAACUACGUG
rnacentral:rRNA from 1 species